ensembl:snRNA U6 U6 spliceosomal RNA
GUGCUUGCUUCGGUAGCACAUACACUAAAAUUGGAACAAGGCCCCUGUGCAACGAUGACACCCAAAUUCGUAAAGCGUUACACAUUUUU